rnacentral:rRNA from 1 species
CGGAACGGAUAAACGCUGAAAGCAUCUAAGCGUGAAGCCCGCUCCAAGAUGAGGUUUCGUAGGCUAAUAGCCGAAAGCCCCCUGAAAGACGAUCAGGUUGAUAGGCCGGAUGUGUAAGUGCAGCAAUGCAUUCAGCUAACCGGUACUAAUGGGUCGAACGCUUGGCCAC